CUGGCGGCGUGCCUAAUACAUGCAAGUCGAACGGUCUUUCUAUGGAAGCUUGCUUCCACUGAGAAGAUAGUGGCGAACGGGUGAGUAACACGUGGGUAACCUGCCCAUAAGAGGGGGAUAACAUCCGGAAACGGGUGCUAAUACCGCAUAGUUUUCUUGAUCGCAUGAUCGGGAAAGGAAAGACGGCCUUUGUGCUGUCGCUUAUGGAUGGACCCGCGGCGUAUUAGUUAGUUGGUGAGGUAACGGCUCACCAAGACGAUGAUACGUAGCCGACCUGAGAGGGUGAUCGGCCACAUUGGGACUGAGACACGGCCCAAACUCCUACGGGAGGCAGCAGUAGGGAAUCUUCCGCAAUGGACGAAAGUCUGACGGAGCAACGCCGCGUGAGUGAAAGAAGGUUUUCGGAUCGUAAAACUCUGUUGUCAGAGAAGAACAAGUUGGAGAGUAACUGCUCCAGCCUUGACGGUAUCUGACCAGAAAGCCACGGCUAACUACGUGCCAGCCGCCGC
rnacentral:rRNA from 1 species